rnacentral:rRNA from 1 species
UACGGGAGUGGCAAGCGUUAUCCGGAAUUAUUGGGCGUAAAGCGUCCGCAGGUGGUUUUGUAAGUCUGUCGUUAAAGCGUGGAGCUUAACUCCAUUUAAGCGAUGGAAACUGCAAGACUAGAGUGUGGUAGGGGCAGAGGGAAUUCCCGGUGUAGCGGUGAAAUGCGUAGAUAUCGGGAAGAACACCAGUGGCGAAGGCGCUCUGCUGGGCCAUAACUGACACUCAUGGACGAAAGCCAGGGGAGCGAAAGGGAUUAGAUACCCCUGUAGUCCUGGCCGUAAACGAUGAACACUAAGUGUCGGGGGAAUCGACCCCCUCGGUGUCGUAGCCAACGCGUUAAGUGUUCCGCCUGGGGAGUACGCACGCAAGUGUGAAACUCAAAGGAAUUGACGGGGGCCCGCACAAGCGGUGGAGUAUGUGGUUUAAUUCGAUGCAACGCGAAGAACCUUACCAGGGUUUGACAUCCUGCGAAUCUCUUGGAAACGAGAGAGUGCCUUCGGGAACGCAGUGACAGGUGGUGCAUGGCUGUCGUCAGCUCGUGUCGCGAGAUGUUGGGUCAAGUCCCGCAACGAGCGCAACCCACGUCGUUAGUUGCCAGCAUUCAGUUGGGCACUCUAGCGAGACCGCCGGUGGUAAACCGGAGGAAGGUGUGGAUGACGUCAAGUCAUCAUGCCCCUUACAUCCUGGGCUACACACGUACUACAAUGCUACGGACAAAGGGCAGCAAACUCGCGAGAGCUAGCAAAUCCCAUAAACCGUGGCUCAGUUCAGAUCGUAGGCUGCAACUCGCCUACGUGAAGGAGGAAUCGCUAGUAAUCGCAGGUCAGCAUACUGCGGUGAAUACGUUCCCGGGCCU